rnacentral:rRNA from 1 species
GACGAACGCUGGCGGCGUGCCUAAUACAUGCAAGUAGAACGCUGAAGGAGGAGCUUGCUUCUCUGGAUGAGUUGCGAACGGGUGAGUAACGCGUAGGUAACCUGCCUGGUAGCGGGGGAUAACUAUUGGAAACGAUAGCUAAUACCGCAUAAGAGUAGAUGUCGCAUGACAUUUGCUUAAAAGGUGCAAUUGCAUCACUACCAGAUGGACCUGCGUUGUAUUAGCUAGUUGGUGAGGUAACGGCUCACCAAGGCAACGAUACAUAGCCGACCUGAGAGGGUGAUCGGCCACACUUGGACUGAGACACGGCCCAGACUCCUACGGGAGGCAGCAGGAGGGAAUCUUCGGCAAUGGACGGAAGUCUGACCGAGCAACGCCGCGUGAGUGAAGAAGGUUUUCGGAUCGUAAAGCUCUGUUGUAAGAGAAGAACGAGUGUGAGAGUGGAAAGUUCACACUGUGACGGUAUCUUACCAGAAAGGGACGGCUAACUACGUG